rnacentral:rRNA from 1 species
GUGCCAGCAGCCGCGGUAACACGAACUGUGCAAACGUUAUUCGGAAUCACUGGGCUUAAAGAGUUCGUAGGCGGCGCGUUAAGUCGGGUGUGAAAUCCCUCGGCUCAACCGAGGAAUUGCGCUCGAAACUGGCGUGCUUGAGUGAGAUAGAGGUGAGCGGAACUGAUGGUGGAGCGGUGAAAUGCGUUGAUAUCAUCAGGAACACCGGUGGCGAAAGCGGCUCACUGGGUCUCAACUGACGCUGAGGAACGAAAGCUAGGGGAGCGAACGGGAUUAGAUACCCGCGUAGUCC